rnacentral:misc_RNA from 1 species
GAUGAAGAACGUAGUGAAAUGCGAUAAGUAGUGUGAAUUGCAGAAUUCAGUGAAUCAUCGAAUCUUUGAACGCACAUUGCGCCCCUUGGUAUUCCAUGGGGCAUGCCUGUUCGAGCGUCAUUCGUACCUUCAAGCCUUGCUUGGUGUUGGGUGUUUGUCUCGCCUCUGCGCGCAGACUCGCCUCAAAACAAUUGGCAGCCGGCGUAUUGAUUUCGGAGCGCAGUACAUCUCGCGCUUUGCACUCAGAACGACGACGUCCAAAAGUACAUUUUUUACACUCUUGACCUCGGAUCAGGUAGGGAUACCCGCUGAACUUAAGCAUAUCAAUAAGCGGAGGA